CCUACGGGAGGCAGCAGUGAGGAAUCUUCCACAAUGGGCGAAAGCCUGAUGGAGCAACGCCGCGUGAAGGAUGAAGGCCCUCGGGUUGUAAACUUCUUUUAUAAGUGAAGAAUAUGACGGUAACUUAUGAAUAAGCACCGGCUAACUACGUGCCAGCAGCCGCGGUCAUACGUAGGGUGCAAGCAUUAUCCGGAGUGACUGGGCGUAAAGAGUUGCGUAGGUGGUUUGUUAAGUGAGUAGUGAAAGCUAGCGGCUCAACCGUAUAGACUAUUAUUCAAACUGGCAAACUCGAGAAUGGUAGAGGUAACUGGAAUUUCUUGUGUAGGAGUGAAAUCCGUAGAUAUAAGAAGGAACACCAAUGGCGUAGGCAGGUUACUGGACCAUUUCUGACACUGAGGCACGAAAGCGUGGGGAGCGAACGGGAUUAGAUACCCUGGUAGUC
rnacentral:rRNA from 1 species